rnacentral:rRNA from 1 species
CAGCAGCCGCGGUAAUACGAAGGGGGCUAGCGUUGUUCGGAAUUACUGGGCGUAAAGCGCACGUAGGCGGAUAUUUAAGUCAGGGGUGAAAUCCCGCAGCUCAACUGCGGAACUGCCUUUGAUACUGGGUAUCUUGAGUAUGGAAGAGGUUAGUGGAAUUGCGAGUGUAGAGGUGAAAUUCGUAGAUAUUCGCAGGAACACCAGUGGCGAAGGCGACCACCUGGACUGAUACUGACACUGAGGUGCGAAAGCGUGGGGAGCAAACAGGAUUAGAUACCCGGGUAGUCCCUGUCUCUUAUAC